ncrna:unclassified sequences Type-P5 twister ribozyme ribozyme sequence
AGCUGAUGACAGGAGCUUAAGCUCCUGUAAAGCUACCAGGCAGAAGGUUCAAAGUCCUU